rnacentral:rRNA from 1 species
GUGCAGCAGGCGCGAAACUUUCACAAUGCUGGAAACAGCGAUGCGGCAACUCCGAGUGCCAACGCGUUGCGUUGGCUGUUCUCCUGCCUAAAAAGCAGGAGGAGUAAGGGCCGGGUAAGACGGGUGCCAGCCGCCGCGGUAAUACCCGCGGCCCGAGUGGUGCUCGUUAUUAUUGAGCCUAAAGAGUCCGUAGCCGGUCUGAUAAAUCCUUGGGUAAAUCGGGCAGCUUAACUGUCCGAAGUCCGAGGAGACUGUCAGACUUGGGAUCGGGAGAGGCGGAAGGAACUCCCGGGGUAGGGGUAAAAUCCUGUAAUCCUAGGAGGACCACCAGUGGCGAAAGCGUCCAACUAGAACGGAUCCGACGGUAAGGGACGAAGCCCUGGGGCGCAAACGGGAUUAGAUACCCGGGUAGUCC